rnacentral:rRNA from 1 species
UACGUAGGGGGCAAGCGUUGUCCGGAUUUACUGGGCGUAAAUCGCCUGUAGGCGGCCUGUCAAGUCCGGCCUGAAAGCCCCCGGCUCAACCGGGGAGGGUGGCUGGAAACUGGCAGGCUUGAGGGCGAGAGAGGAGGGUGGAAUUCCUGGUGUAGCGGUGAAAUGCGUAGAGAUCAGGAGGAACACCCGUGGCAAAGGCGGCCCUCUGGCUCGACCCUG